CACGUAGGGUGCGAGCGUUGUCCGGAAUUAUUGGGCGUAAAGAGCUCGUAGGCGGUUUGUUGCGUCGGCUGUGAAAUCCCGAGGCUCAACCUCGGGUCUGCAGUCGAUACGAGCAAACUAGAGUGUUGCAGGGGAGACUGGAAUUCCUGGUGUAGCGGUGAAAUGUGCAGAUAUCAGGAGGAACACCGGUGGCGAAGGCGGGUCUCUGGGCAACAACUGACGCUGAGGAGCGAAAGCGUGGGGAGCGAACAGG
rnacentral:rRNA from 1 species